rnacentral:rRNA from 1 species
CAAGCGGUGGAGCAUGUGGUUUAAUUCGAUGCAACGCGAAGAACCUUACCUACUCUUGACAUCCACGGAAUUUGGCAGAGAUGCCUUAGUGCCUUCGGGAACCGUGAGACAGGUGCUGCAUGGCUGUCGUCAGCUCGUGUUGUGAAAUGUUGGGUUAAGUCCCGCAACGAGCGCAACCCUUAUCCUUUGUUGCCAGCGAUUCGGUCGGGAACUCAAAGGAGACUGCCGGUGAUAAACCGGAGGAAGGUGGGGAUGACGUCAAGUCAUCAUGGCCCUUACGAGUAGGGCUACACACGUGCUACAAUGGCGCAUACAAAGAGAAGCGACCUCGCGAGAGCAAGCGGACCUCACAAAGUGCGUCGUAGUCCGGAUCGGAGUCUGCAACUCGACUCCGUGAAGUCGGAAUCGCUAGUAAUCGUGGAUCAGAAUGCCACGGUGAAUACGUUCCCGGGCCUUGUACACACC